CAGCCUCUCUGCCAGCCUGGUCCAAGACUUGUUUUGGUAAGGAUGACAUGCUUAUACAGGUCUAGUCAAUAACAGGUCCUUUGUUCUGUCUCCUAGACCUCUGGGUGCCACUGUACGGACAUGUCCAGCUUGGCAGGCAGCUGGCAUCUCAAGGAUCUGGGUUGUUAUCAGAUGGACACUCACCAAACAGAGUCCCUCCUGGCCCGGUGGUGUGUGCUGCUGUGCACGUAGGCCUGCAUGCCUCAUAUCUGUGCCCAGCAAUUACAUCCCAAGCACCCUGCCCCAUUCCAAGGCAGCCGGAGCCAGCUGGGACACUGUGCCCGGGGUGGGAGCCAGGUAGUUUUCCUCCUUUCAUCCUUUUUGAUUCCAUAAGCAUUUUCUUCUAAGCUUGGGCUCUCACAGCAGUGUCCGACAUGGGAAAACAAACCCAGAAGGCAGGAACUGAGCUGCAUCUGCUCGUAGUGCUGCCUUUUGCUGUUCUGAAAUGGAGCCAAAAGGCACAGCCUCUGCCCUCCAGAACAGGAAGCCUGCAAGCAGCGUGUGCUUUCUGCAGCACUGCCUGCUCGCUUCUUCCACCCCCAACCCAGUCCGUCCACCUGCCUGACCAAGAGUGUGUGAUGUGCCCGACCUGCAGAUGGUGGGACCUUCAAGAGUUAAAUGAAGCU
rnacentral:lncRNA from 1 species